rnacentral:misc_RNA from 1 species
UUUUCCUGCUCAGGUAAUUUUUUCUCCAAUACUCCAACUGACAAAAAACUUGUGGUCUAUGUUCCUUCAACCUCCAUUUUUAAGCCCUCUUUCCGUCGUCUCUCUCUCCGAGAAGCUUCCCCUUCUUCCACCGUCUUUUCACUUUUCACCUUCAUCUUUCCCAUGGCGGCCGGCCUCUCCGCCGCCUUAGUGCCCAAACCACUCCAUCUCUUCCUUACUUCCUCCCAUCUCUCCCCUAAACCUCGAACUCCGUUUCUGUUUCCACCUCCUGUCUUCCGGAACAGUAGAUUCCAAUGGAAGAUGCGGAGAAAAACUCUGUUCACUGUCUGUGUACUCGUUGAGGAUCAAAAUAGUUCCGGUGAGGUGGAGAAUCUCUCCGAUGAAGGAUCGCCGAUUGUAAUCCCUCAGAUCCCAUCGCCUCAUGUUUCAGAAAGAUUAGCAAGGAAGAAAUCGGAGCGCUUCACUUAUCUUGUUGCUGCGGUUAUGUCUAGUUUUGGAAUUACCUCCAUGGCUGUCAUGGCGGUUUACUACCGAUUUUACUGGCAAAUGGAGGGCGGAGAGAUUCCUUUCUCUGAAAUGUUUGGUACAUUUUCUCUCUCUGUUGGUGCCGCUGUGGGGAUGGAGUUCUGGGCGAGAUGGGCUCAUAGGGCUCUCUGGCACUCUUCCUUAUGGCAUAUGCACG